CAGGCAGAAAACUCAUGUGCUCCUACUGGGCGUGGAAUGUACUCCACGGGUUGGAAAUGGCCUUCCUGUUACUUUCUCUCCUAUUACUAUUCUGAAUUGGGAAAGGUGAGGCAAGAAAUGGCUCGAUGGGGUGAGACUGGAGCUGGACCAGCCAGAGAAACAGGAGACAACAUCAUUGUCCACAGCAUCCAAGCAUCUGGGGUGACUGGCAGCCCACCUCCGCAGCAGGGAAGGCAGCACCAGGAAGGGAUUCUCUUAUUACUGGAAAAUGUCCUCAAUACCCAGGGAUCACUCAGCACAAGGUCAAGAGCUGACUGUCAGCAAGAAAGAAAAGCAGAGCAAAGAAAUGAAGACCAUGUGAAAGGAAAACAUUGCUUUCAAGGCUCUGCCUACAAGGUCCACAUGAAAGUAAGUAUAACAUUAAAAACUCUGGCUGCUAGAGCUAGGAUAGUGGAAGGUGCAAGAUAUUUGCUGGAGUGAUGCAGAGUCCAGAGGGAAAGUUGUCCCAAGAAAAAUCCAGGCGGGGGGAAAGACUCGGCACCAGGGUCAGAUUAUGAGGGUCAUUUAAUAUGUGAUCCUGAGCAAAUCAGAGUUCUUCUGGGCUUUAAAAGGAAGAUUCAAUAAUGGCACCUACUCCAUAAGGCUGUUGUGAG
rnacentral:lncRNA from 1 species